ensembl:lncRNA
GUUUAUUUUCAUAUAGGCCUACUGCAGCUCUGAUUGGCUGUGCCCAGUGGUGGAAAAAGUACCCCGAUUGUCAUACUUGAGUAAAAGUAAAGAUACUGUAAUAAAAAUGACUCAAGAGAAAGGGAAAGUCACCCAGUAAAAUACUACUUGACUAAAAAUCCAAAAGUAUUUGGUUUAAAAUCUACUUAUUAUGUGCCAAAAGUAAAUUUAAUUGUUAAAAUAUACUUAAGUAUCAAAAGUAAAAGUAUAAAUAAUUUCAAAUUCAUAAUCAAACCAUAUGACACCAUUUUCUAGUUGUUUUAUUUUUUAAAUUUACCGAUAGCCAGGGGCACACUACAACACUCAGACAUCAUUUACAGAUAGCCAGGGGUACACUCCAACACUCAGACAUUAUUUACAGAUAGCCAGGGGAACACUCCAACACUCAGACAUCAUUUACAGAUAGCCAGGGGAACACUCCAACACUCAGACAUCAUUUACAGAUAGCCAGGGGAACACUCCAACACUCAGACAUCAUUUACAGAUAGCCAGGGGAACACUCCAACACUCAGACAUAAUUUACAGAUAGCCAGGGGAACACUCCAACACUCAGACAUCAUUUACAGAUAGCCAGGGGAACACUCCAACACUCAGACAUCAUUUACAGAUAGCCAGGGGAACACUCCAACACUCAGACAUCAUUUACAGAUAGCCAGGGGCACACUCCAACACUCAGACAUCAUUUACAGAUAGCCAGGGGUACACUCCAACACUCAGACAUUAUUUACAGAUAGCCAGGGGCACACUACAACACUCCAACACUCAGAUAUUAUUUACAGACAGCCAGGGGAACACUCCAACACUCAGACAUCAUUUACAGAUAGCCAGGGGAACACUCCAACACUCAGACAUCAUUUACAGAUUGCCAGGGGAACACUCCAACACUCAGACAUCAUUUACAGAUUGCCAGGGGAACACUCCAACACUCAGACAUCAUUUACAGAUUGCCAGGGGAACACUCCAACACUCAGACAUCAUUUACAGAUAGCCAGGGGUACACUACAACACUCAGACAUCAUUUACAGAUAGCCAGGGGAACACUCCAACACUCAGACAUCAUUUACAGAUAGCCAGGGGAACACUCAAACACUCAGACAUCAUUUACAGAUAGCCAGGGGUACACUCCAACACUCAGACAUUAUUUACAGAUAGCCAGGGGCACACUCCAACACUCAGACAUCAUUUACAGAUUGCCAGGGGAACACUCCAACACUCAGACAUCAUUUACAGAUAGACAGGGGUACACUACAACACUCAGACAUCAUUUAUAGAUAGCCAGGGGAACACUCCAACACACAGACAUCAUUUACAGAUAGCCAGGGGAACACUCAAACACUCAGGGAACACUCCAACACUCAGACAUCAUUACAGAUAGCUAGGGGUACACUCCAACACUCAGACAUCAUUUACAGAUAGCCAGGGGUACACUCCAACACUCAGACAUAAUUUACUAUAGCCAGGGGAACACUCCAACACUCAGACAUCAUUUACUAUAGCCAGGGGCACACUACAACACUCAGACAUAAUUUACAAAUGAGGCCAGUGUUUAGUGAGUCCGCCAGAUCAGAGGUCGUAGGGUUGACCAGGAAUGUUCUCUUGAUAAGUGAGUGAAUAAGACCAUUUUCCUAUCCUGCUAAGCAUUCAAAAUAUAACGAGUACAUUUUUGUGUCAGGGAAAAUGUAAAAAGUACACACAUUUCUUAAGGAAUGUAAGUGAAGUAAAAGUAAAAUGAGUCAAAAAUAUAAAUAGUAAAGUAAAGUACUUAAGUAGUACUUUCAAGUAUUUUUUACUUAAGUACUUUACACCACUGCCUAUGCCUCACCGGUCUGGAGUAUGUGGUGAGUCAUUCACAAUAUAAUUAUAUUCCUAUGCAUUCUGCUUACAACAAAAUAUCUUUCAUGUUUCAGAAUGUUGCAUCGAAGUGGCUAGUAUUGGCGUUUGAUUCGAUCACAAUUGCAACAGUAAAAGGAAAACGUUGAUAGUGUUAAUUAAAAAGGGGAAAACUCAAGAACAGUUGAAUGAAGUUUAAUCUCCUGCUUCUCUUUGUGGACAGAUAUUUCUUCAGCACUCUAUGUGGCAGUCUCGGGAGCUGUGCGGCAGUCUCGUGGGAGCUGUAGCGGCAGUCUCGUGGGAGCUGUAUGGCAGUCUCAUGGGAGCUGUAUGGCAGUCUCAUGGGAGCUGUAUGGCAGUCUCAUGGGAGCUGUGCGGCAGUCUCGUGGGAGCUGUAUGGCAGUCUCAUGGGAGCUGUACGGCAGUCUCGUGGGAGCUGUACGGCAGUCUCGUGGGAGCUGUAAGGCAGUCUCAUGGGAGCUGUGCGGCAGUCUCGUGGGAGCUGUAUGGCAGUCUCAUGGGAGCUGUGCGGCAGUCUUGUGGGCACUGUACGGCAGUCUCAUGGGAGCUGUAUGGCAGUCUCAUGGGAGCUGUG